ensembl:lncRNA
UCUCUGGCAGGAGUAAUGUAGACAUCGGCUCGAGCUGAUACUGUAGAUACAGGUUUAGGUUCGUUAGGAACACACUGAGCUGUUGAAAUGCGAACGGACUGAAUGAAAAGCGCCGAGAUGACUUUUGCUCCUGGAGUUCGCUCUGUUUUCUUCAGAGGAUUUUCACUUGCGUUAAUGCUGUUAUCGACAUGCUCGCGCAGCGAUCUCGCUGAUAUUACUGUUCAUGGCACGGAUGGAGAAGCAGCAUCUCUUCCCUGCAAGUGUCCUCCGGACUGGCCUCCGUAUCUGGUCUGGCAGAAGGUCGCUGGUGAACAGCGGCUCGUGGUUAAUUACUACAAAGAUGACGACCAAGAAGGCAACCUCAUGGCAUCCGAGUUCAGGAACAGAACGGAGCUGAAGCUGAGAGGAAACUGUUCUCUAGUGUUUCACAGAGUGAGUCUGUCAGACCAGGGACUGUACGAGUGCUUCUAUAAGAUAUCACCGUUAAGUCUUGAAAAAAUCCAUCUGGUCAUCAGAGAAAAACAACAACAAAUACCCGGUCAGAAGGUCCAGAGCACCCUUGUGACUUCAGUUUGCGUGUUUCUCAUCAUUGUCAUCGCAAUUGCUGCUCUAUAUGUGGGAAUUACUUGCAGAAAUAGACAUCAAAUGAGAAGUAAGUUUUUUUCUGUAUUCAUUGCAAUUAAAAGAAAUGUCCGCUUACAAUAAGCAGCUCUUAGCUGUAGUAUGUGAACUCUUCUUGCACUAUGCUGUUGGUUUAAAAGUUCUGUGACGGUCACAUUUAGAUGAAAUCUGAGCUUAUGAUCAGCGUUGUACCUGUGAUUUAUGGUGUUUUUCUUUCUUUGCAGGAACAUUUAUUGCAACAUCAAGCAGGAGCAUUUAACAGCUGUCAAUUCAGAGCAAGAUCUAGAUCUAUAGCUACUUUUGAGUGGCUUUUCACCGAUGAUAGCAAAUGCAACAAACAAAACAACAAAAUGCACAAGCUCACACACGUCGUGCAGUUCUUAUGCGGGUGACCCAUUUCACUUGUUAACCCACUACAAACAUUUCCUGCCACUUAAAUCACCGCUGACAAGAUGGGCUUUUAAUAAAAGCUGGCCGUCUAUGCA